rnacentral:rRNA from 1 species
UACGUAGGGUGCAAGCGUUGUCCGGAAUUAUUGGGCGUAAAGAGCUCGUAGGCGGUUUGUCGCGUCUGCUGUGAAAACUCGGGGCUUAACUCCGGGCCUGCAGUGGGUACGGGCAGACUAGAGUGCGGUAGGGGAGACUGGAAUUCCUGGUGUAGCGGUGAAAUGCGCGAUAUCAGGAGGGACACCGGUGGCGAAGGCGGGUCUCUGGGCCGUAACUGACGCUGAGGAGCGAAGCGUGGGGAGCGAACAGG